AUUAAGCCAUGCAUGUCUAAGUAUAAACUAUUCUUACGGUGAAACUGCGAAUGGCUCAUUAAAUCAGUAAUUGUUUAUUUGGUGGUAUCAAGUUACUUGGAUAACCCUGUUAACGUAGAGCUAAUACAUGCCCGAAAACACGUUCAGGUUGCUUGCAUCCUGAACGGCGUUGCACUUGUUAGCUUGAAGCCAAUGCAGACCGCGAGGUCUGGAAGAUGGCGAGUCAUAACAAUUGAGCUAAUCGCAUGGCCCAGCGCCGGCGAUGCUCCAUUCGAAUUUCUGACCUAUCAACUUUCGAUGGUAGGAUCGGGGCCUACCAUGGUUGUAACGGGUAACGGGGAAUUAGGGUUUGAUUCCGGAGAGGGAGCUUGAGAAACGGCUACCACUUCCAAGGAAGGCAGCAGGCGCGCAAAUUACCCAAUCCCAAAACGGGGAGGUAGUGACAACAAAUAACAAUAUAAGUCCCAUUCGGGUCUUGUAAUUGGAAUGAGUACAAUCUAGAACCCUUAACGAGUAACAAUUGGAGGGCAAGUCUGGUGCCAGCAGCCGCGGUAAUUCCAGCUCCAUUAGUGUAUAUUAAAGCUGUUGCGGUUAAAAAGCUCGUAGUUGGAUUUCGGGGCUUUGGGAGGCUUGGUCUGCGCAAGUCGUAAGCACUAGCCACCCGGUCCCUCUCCUUCUGGAUGCUCGUUGCUGCUCUUAAUUGAGUGGUGAUUAAAGGUGCUGGGUAACCGGCACUGGAGUUCCAGAUCAUUUACUUUGAAAAAAUCAGAGUGUUCAAAGCAGGCGUUCUGAGCCUUGAAUACAUUAGCAUGGGAUAAUGCCAUAGGACUCUGUUUCUAUAUCGUUGGUUUCUGGGAACGGGGUAAUGAUUAAUAGGGAUAGUUGGGGUGAUUUAUAUUUCAUUGUCAGAGGUGAAAUUCAUGGAUUUCUGAAAGAUAAACUUCUGCGAAAGCAUUUCACAAGGAUGUUUUCAUUAAUCAAGAACGAAAGUUGGGGGAUCGAAGACGAUCAGAUACCGUCAUAGUCUCAACCAUAAACCAUGCCGACCAGGGAUCGGAAGACGUUACAUGUAAGACUCCUCCAGCACCUUGUGAGAAAUCACAAGUCUUUGGGCUUCGGGGGGAGUAUGGUCGCAAGGCUGAAACUUAAAGGAAUUGACGGAAGGGCACCACCAGGAGUGGAGCCUGCGGCUUAAUUUGACCCAACACGGGAAAACUUACCAGGUCCGGACAGCAGAAGGAUUGACAGAUUGAGAGCUCUUUCUUGAUUUGCUGCGUGGUGGUGCAUGGCCGUUCUUAGUUGGUGGAGUGAUCUGUCUGGUUAAUUCCGUUAACGAACGAGACCUUAACCUGCUAAAUAGUUACGCUACCCC
rnacentral:rRNA from 1 species